AUUGAACGCUGGCGGCAUGCUUUACACAUGCAAGUCGAACGGCAGCGGGGGCUUCGGCCUGCCGGCGAGUGGCGAACGGGUGAGUAAUGCAUCGGAACGUGCCCAUGUCGUGGGGGAUAACGUAGCGAAAGCUACGCUAAUACCGCAUACGCCCCGAGGGGGAAAGCGGGGGGAUUCUUCGGAACCUCGCGCGAUUGGAGCGGCCGAUGUCGGAUUAGCUAGUAGGUGAGGUAAAGGCUCACCUAGGCGACGAUCCGUAGCGGGUCUGAGAGGAUGAUCCGCCACACUGGGACUGAGACACGGCCCAGACUCCUACGGGAGGCAGCAGUGGGGAAUUUUGGACAAUGGGGGCAACCCUGAUCCAGCAAUGCCGCGUGAGUGAAGAAGGCCUCGGUUGGUUAAAGGUACUCUUUUGUUCUAGGGAAGGAAAACGAA
rnacentral:rRNA from 1 species